rnacentral:tRNA from 2 species
AGACAGGUGGCCGAGUGGUCGAAGGCGCACGCCUGGAACGCGUGUGUAGGGCAACCUACCGAGAGUUCGAAUCUCUUCCUGUCUGCCA